UGCAGUCGAACGAUGAACCACUUCGGUGGGGAUUAGUGGCGAACGGGUGAGUAACACGUGGGCAAUCUGCCCUUCACUCUGGGACAAGCCCUGGAAACGGGGUCUAAUACCGGAUAACACUGCGGAUCGCAUGGUCUGCGGUUGAAAGCUCCGGCGGUGAAGGAUGAGCCCGCGGCCUAUCAGCUUGUUGGUGGGGUGAUGGCCUACCAAGGCGACGACGGGUAGCCGGCCUGAGAGGGCGACCGGCCACACUGGGACUGAGACACGGCCCAGACUCCUACGGGAGGCAGCAGUGGGGAAUAUUGCACAAUGGGCGAAAGCCUGAUGCAGCGACGCCGCGUGAGGGAUGACGGCCUUCGGGUUGUAAACCUCUUUCAGCAGGGAAGAAGCGAAAGUGACGGUACCUGCAGAAGAAGCGCCGGCUAACUACGUGCCAGCAGCCGCGGUAAUACGUAGGGCGCAAGCGUUGUCCGGAAUUAUUGGGCGUAAAGAGCUCGUAGGCGGCUUGUCGCGUCGGAUGUGAAAGCCCGGGGCUUAACCCCGGGUCUGCAUUCGAUACGGGCAGGCUAGAGUGUGGUAGGGGAGAUCGGAAUUCCUGGUGUAGCGGUGAAAUGCGCAGAUAUCAGGAGGAACACCGGUGGCGAAGGCGGAUCUCUGGGCCAUUACUGACGCUAAGGAGCGAAAGCGUGGGGAGCGAACAGGAUUAGAUACCCUGGUAGUCCACGCCGUAAACGUUGGGAACUAGGUGUUGGCGACAUUCCACGUCGUCGGUGCCGCAGCUAACGCAUUAAGUUCCCCGCC
rnacentral:rRNA from 1 species